rnacentral:misc_RNA from 1 species
GAUGAAGAACGUAGCGAAGUGCGAUAAUUAAUGUGAAUUGCAGAAUUCCGUGAAUCAUCGAGUCUUUGAACGCACAUUGCGCCUCAUGGCAUUCCGUGAGGCAUGCCCAUCUCAGCGUUAGAAAAUAUUCUCAAAUUUUAGUUUUGUGCUAAAAUUUGGAUCAUGUCAAGGAAGCUAUUACUAUUAUUGUGAUCGCUCUUUGGAAAUUGAUAGGUCUUUGAGUUGCUACUCAUAGAACGUGAUGAAUCUUUCUUCGUUCUAUUGUAAUUCACUCUGGUAGUCCUAAAAGUUGUAUGCCUGUGGCAUAUCUUGUAAUUUGACCUGAGAUUGGGUAGGGAUACCCGCUGAACUUAAGCAUAUCAAUAAGCGGAGGA